rnacentral:rRNA from 1 species
UAAGCGGAGGAAAAGAAACUAACAAAGGAUUUCCCUAGUAACUGCGAGUGAAGCGGGAAAAGCUCAAAUUUAAAAUCUGGUGGUCUUNGGCCAUNCGAGUUGUAAUCUAGAGAAGCGUCUUCCGCGCUGGACCGUGCACAAGUCUCCUGGAACGGAGCGUCGUAGAGGGUGAGAAUCCCGUCUUUGGCAUGGACACACCAGGGCUUUUGUGAUGCGCUCUCGAAGAGUCGAGUUGUUUGNGAAUGCAGCUCAAAAUGGGUGGUGAACUCCAUCUAAAGCUAAAUAUUGGCGAGAGACCGAUAGCGAACAAGUACCGUGAGGGAAAGAUGAAAAGCACUUUGGAAAGAGAGUGAAACAGUACGUGAAAUUGUUGAAAGGGAAACGCUUGGAGUCAGUCGCGUCGACCGAGACUCAGCCUCGCCUCGGCUUGGUGUACUUCUCGGCCCGACGGGUCAGCAUCAAUUUCGCCUCUUGGAUAAUGGCGAGGGAAACGUGACACCUUUACGGUGUGUUAUAGUCUCUCGUCGCAUGCAAGGGUCGGGAUUGAGGAACUCAGCACGCGCCUUUGGGCGUCGGGGCUUUGCCUACGAUACGUGCUUAGGAUGUUGGCGUAAUGGCUUUAAACGACC